UCAGUUCGGAUUGUAGUCUGCAACUCGACUACAUGAAGCUGGAAUCGCUAGUAAUCGCGAAUCAGAAUGUCGCGGUGAAUACGUUCCCGGGUCUUGUACACGCCGCCCGUCACACCAUGGGGAGUUGGGAAUGCCCGAAGCCGGUGACCUAACCGAAAGGGAGGAGCCGUCGAAGGCAGGCUUGAUAACUGGGGUGAAGUCGUAACAAGGUACC
rnacentral:rRNA from 1 species